rnacentral:rRNA from 1 species
AUUGAACGCUGGCGGCAGGCCUAACACAUGCAAGUCGAACGAGUGGCGGACGGGGGAGUAAUGUCUGGGAACCUGCCUGAUGGUGGGGGAUAACUACUGGAAACGGUAGCUAAUACCGCAUACCAUCAGAUGGGCCCAGAUGGGCUUAGCUAGUUGGUGGGGUAACGGCUCACCAAGGCGACGAUCCCUAGCUGGUCUGAGAGGCUGACCAGCCACACGGGAGCUGGGACACGGUCCAGGCGCCUACGAGAGGCAGCAGUGGGGAAUAUUGCACAAUGGGCGCAAGCCUGAUGCAGCCAGGCCGCGUGUAUGAAGGAGACCUUCGGGUUGUAAAGUACUUUCAGCGGGGAGGCGUUACCCGCAGAAGAAGCACCGGCUAACUCCGUGCCAGCAGCCGCGGUAAUUC